UCAGGGGGUAACCCUAUUUGAUUCGAGGUCAUCAAUUCUUGUAUUGGUGUAUUGGCAACUUAUGUAUUCAUGUUAUAACAAGAUAUUUCUGUCAUGCUACGACUUGAAUACCAAGUGCCCAAGAGUUUUGAACGUUUCUCAAGAGAAAUCGCUCAUCACCAAGCAGAGCUUGAAGUAUGAAAACGACGCUCGAACAAAUAUGCCUCCUGGAAUACCAGAAGGCGCAAUAUGCGUUCAAAGAUUCGAUGAUUCACUGAAUUCUGCAAUUCACAUUACUUAUCGCAUUUCGCUGCGUUCUUCAUCNAUGCCAGAACCA
rnacentral:misc_RNA from 1 species